rnacentral:rRNA from 1 species
UACAGAGACUGCAAGCGUUAUUCGGAUUCACUGGGCGUAAAGGGUGCGCAGGUGGCUAAGUGUGUUAGGCGUGAAAGCCCGGGGCUUAACCCCGGAAUUGCACCUAAAACUACUUGGCUAGAGCAUUGGAGAGGGGAGCAGAAUUCAUGGUGUAGCAGUGAAAUGCGUAGAUAUCAUGAGGAAUACCAGAGGCGAAGGCGGCUCCCUGGACAAUUGCUGACACUCAGGCACGAAAGCGUGGGGGAGCAAAAAGGG